rnacentral:rRNA from 1 species
GCUCACUCCGGAGGACGAGAGCACGCUCUCGCUCUUGAUGGUCUGCCGUUUUCGGUGGGUGCUGAGGGAGUGGGACCGAUCCCAAGGAUCGGGGAGGAGGAGUCGGCGGCAACGCACAAGUGGAGCGGGCUCGCCGAAGGGCUGGAGCAGCCCUCUCCGGUCGUCCUGGGGCGGCAGUACGGAGGCAAAGGGGGUAGAGGAGAAAAGACGAUGGAUAAAGAGAGGACACUUGACGCGCAGCAAGGAGAGACGUCCACGGCGGUACCGGCGCAGUACCUCGAGCGGCGGUACCCGACACACGGGGAGGCUGCUGCCGGACGGAGUGGGUGCAGAUCUAGAUGUUCUCUAGUUCUUCCCACUACAAGACCUACGACUAGAGUUGAUUAUCAACGGUCUACUUGAUACGUUACUGUCGUACCUACUCGAAACACACGUCAAGUGUAAAUGAAGCACCUGGUAGUGGUUGGCCUACCUCCACUUCGUUCACCCGUUCAGUCCCUUUACGAGCCUUCCGAUAGCUCUUCUAGUUGCUAGAAUUGGGGUGCUAGGAUUAAAAUCAAACAUGGAGCGACAACCCGACAGUCUUUUCAAACCUCCUCCUCGUUACUAUACUGUUAACACCGAUUGAAAUAACAGUAAUCACUAUAUACACGAUUACCUGGAAGCCCAAGAGGUAAUACAAAUGGCCGGCCAAACAGUAGACUUUUUAUGGGCUAUCGUAUCACCUGUCACGAAAAAAACCAGUCUUCAUCAUAAAGAUGUACUUUGAUUCAAUAUAUACGCAUACUCUUUACACCGACUCUUUACACCGAAUAGAAAUCUAUUACGAAAAAAACCAAUCUUCAACAAAAAGAUGUACUUUGAUUCCAUAUCUACGUAUACUCUUUAAUCGAGAAACGAAUUGACUUAUUUAACAUAAACGAGGAAAGUCGGCCUCGGACCUGCACUAUGCUAAACAUGUUAUACCAAUCUUAUUCUAUAACAAACAUAUGACAACUCACUUCAUAACAUAUUGAUGACAUUUCACCCACAUCCAAAAAUAACACGUAAAAUGUGUCUACAAGACCGCGAACCUGUGUUGGUAUACAUGUUCAACUUCGGAAGUAAACCAAAACUGAAGAAUUGAACUGAGUUUAAAACUGUACGUCUAAGAUCCAUACUUAAGAGAUAUUAUGAAGGUAGAUCUUCGUGUUUUGAACUAUCACAACUACUUCCCAGCCUUUUUAUGUACUUCGAAACUUUAAAAGCGUUCUUCUUGAUCGUGGUUCUCGGCUCAUUUGCGUUCGUAAAGAAAUCCUUUGUCUUUUUAGACGUCGUUGAUAAACUACAAAGAGCUACGAACUUCUGUUGUUCACUUCAACAACGAUGAUAGAAUGUUCGGUUUCAGUACUUUUUCCAUACGUGAUACACCGUCUACGUACGUAUACUACACUACGGGCAAAAUAAAAGUAUAUAUAGAAUGUGAAAUUAAAGUGACGUCACAUGGAUUUAGGUACACCAUCACAGUAGCCGUAUGUAUUAUAAAAUGCGUAUGUUUGUGAUAGAGAGUGUUGUUUACUAACCAAAGAUUUAAGAUUAGAAAACCAAGACCAAUUUCUUAAUGCACUACCUCCUACCUCAACAGGAAGCUUCUUAACAAAUUUCUUGAUUUUUCAUCAUUGUGGUACAGAAAGUUUACGGUUUAACCUUAACGUUGCGCGACUGAGUACAUACCCCAGGCGCCUACGACUAACCUUGGAAACUAUCAAUCCUCUAGUAUGUAUUUGGUAUGUAUUUGGAUACUAUUAAUCCUCUUCAAAACAUCAUGAGGGAAGCAAGGAUUUAUAUUCUGAAAGGUCUCUAACAUUAUCCCUGAUGUAUGCCUACAUAUCUCCGUAUGAAAUCUCACAUCUAAGUGAGUAAAACCAGGCAUACAUCAGAGAUAACCUUAGAGAUCUUUCUGAAUAUAAAUCCUUGCUUCCUUCAUGUUAUAAACAGGUACACAACAUCAUUUAAACAGGUUACGUUCAGUGGUAUUCAGUUACACACACCUUGUUAUUUUACCUUCUUCAAAUUGAUUCCCCCGUGAAAUUAAUUUAUUGAAAUAAAAAUUUAGGGGUAAGAAGUUAGAAAAUCCUAAGCACGUUAAAACUCACAGACGUACACGUACGAUAAAAUCCAAGAAUCCCAAAAAAGGAGUUAGAAACCUAUCCUGAUAUUGAAGAGUUCACACCCUCGACUUUUUUUUCAUCUUCUCGUACGGAUUAGGGAGGUUUAUUUUUAUUUAUAUAGAGUACUCCGAAACCUCUGUGUAGUGGUUACCUUUUAAAUGAUUGAAUGUACGAAUCCGUCCAAGUAUCCAACUAUCGUUCCUCAGCUAUCGUUCCUAGUACACACGACAAAACAAAAUUAAAUAUGUUUUUUAAUAGAGAUGUUACACAACUAUAAUUCCUUAUUAUUGACUUUUGAAGAUCUCCAAAUGUAGAUACUUCAACGGAUCUUUUACCUGACAUUUUACAAAAAAUACACCUCCGUAUUUCUAAUUAAGUGAUAAAACAAAAGCAUUUUGCCAACAAAUGAGCGGUUAAACAUAUCAAUUUAGGUAGAUAAUUCCUAUGUAGUAACUUUUCAUAAUAAAAAAUGAAGUGAGUUAGUAAAUCAGCCCACUAUUUCACAACCCUCUGAUGUUUCAAGUACGAGAUAAGUGUGUACCACCUCCGUUGGGUUGUUCAACAAUGCCUUGGUCGUCUAUUUCUCAGCUCCUUGGGCGUAGUAUCCUCUCAGUAGCUCCCCGUAGGACUAUUGCACUCUGUGAUGUAAAAUAUAUAUACUAGUAUUAUAUAUUGGUAUAAGAUGUAUGUUACGUGCGGCUCAUAAGAAACAACGUGUAAGAAUUUAGAAAGUGCAUUUAGAAGUACGAGUGAUAACGAGCACGUCCAACCAACACUCGACUUUUACUUUUAAAAUAAAAUGAACAACUUCAUCACACGCUUGCUUCGAUUUCUGGUAUAAGGGCCGCAACAUGUCCUUAUAGAGUUCGCAUCGUUCAUCUUAAAUCAAACAUUGUCUAUUAUUAAACCUAGUAACGGGUAAAACAUACAUGUAGUAGUUUAAUGUAACGUACACUUCGCCUAAAGUUAAUAAAAGAUUAACAACACCCAAUAGAAAAGAUAUGUACAUUCAAAAGUGUACGUAAUAUAUAAUAAACCUUCCCCUUGAUGUUUUAAUGAGAACCGACUUGAUAUACGUAAUAUAAAUAUACACAUUAGUCUUUUGUUUCCGGGCACCGUUGCGUGUCCGAAAGAUGAACCGUACGGCACUCAAAGAAAAACGCCAUCGAUUAGGACCGUACGUUAGUUACUAUUCAAGAAAUAAAUUAAUUAUGUUAUUAAAUUAAGAAAUCAUUCAGAACUAAAAAAUGUAGAUAAGAGUAAAUAAUUGUGCACACGUAAACUACCUUUUUCCUUUCUCUAGACGUGGUAUGUUGUUAUAUACCAUCUUGAUCUUAUUAGGUACUAGACGAUGGAUCAAUAGGAGGCGUACCAGAUGGAUAUAUACAAGCAUCUUGUCAAAAUAUUCCGUAAUGUUUGGUUACCCAUUCGUGAACAAUGUAACCAAACAAAUAAACAAAGUAGUUCUGUGAUAAGCUUUCGUAAUAAAAUAUUAUAAUAUCGUAUACUACACCUGAUAAAUACGAUUUAAUAGACCUUAUAACCUGUAGUUUACGUAAUAGUCUGGUCAAGUGGGUCCAUAAUGUAAAAAUAUGUAAUAUAAUAAUUAAAUAGAGUUUUAUAAUAUAGUUAAAUAUAUAUAUGUAUAUUAAAGAUCCUACUAUACUUUGUGAAAGCUGUUUUUUAUCGACAGUAAAACGAGCUAAGUCUCGAUUUAUUCGAUUAUCCUUCAGGGUAUAUGGUAGUUGGACUGUUACUUCUUUGAAAUCGAUUAAGACUAGAGCUCUAAAACCUCUUACGUGGACUGCAUCAGUUUCUGUUUGUAGGACGGGGUUGGUGGUAGUACGGGUGGCUGGUUGCACUUAAUGAACGGCCGGAGACGUUGAAGUAGUACAGCCACCUACUACAGCCCACAAACCUAAUUCAUGGUACAUAGUUAUAAAUUACACACGUACAUAUAAUAAUAAUAAGAAUGGUAGGUUAAUAUUCCUUCCUUACCCAGGCCUCGAACUGUGGGCUAAGUUACCCGAAUUGAGAAUUCUUUGAAGUCACGUAUGAAUUGUACCUCGUCCGAUACCUGUUACUAACGAAGUUGUGGCGGCACGCAUAUGACCGUACACUGCUCCCUCAUAACAAGUGUCUGGGAGGAUAUGUGAUGUACCUAGAUUCUAAAACAAGGUACUACGAUCUCAGUUGUUUUCCAGUCUUCAAACCGAUCUUCCUUUGAUAGGUCUGCAACCGUCGUAAUAAACUAUCGACCGUAUCCUACCUGUUGUUGUAGAGUAGUACGUUGUACUAAGAUCCAUACUUAAGAGAUAUUAUGAAGGUAGACCUUCGUGUUUUGGACUAUCACAACUACUUCCCAGCCUUCUUAUGUACUUCGAAACUUUAAAAGCGUUCUUCUUGAUCGUGGUUCUCGGCUCAUUUGCCAUUAAAAAAAAUAAUUUUGUAGAGUAAUGGAAUCAAUUUUUGGUCCCGAGCUUUGAUAUAAUCAGACUUAUGUCAAGAACAACAGUCGUUCUAAAGUAAAAGACCAUUAUAGCAAACAGCAAUUCUUGUACGAGAAUACAAUAUAAAAUAAACAUUUGAAAACCGUUAAAAAAGUCAUUCGAAAAGAAAUCCUUUGUCUUUUUAGACGUCGUUUAUAAACUACAAAGAGCUACGAACUUCUGUUGUUCACUUCAACAACGAUGGUAGAAUGUUCGGUUUCAGUACUUUUUCAGUCCACUAUUUUACAACCCUCUAAUGUUUUAAGUACGAGAUAAGUGUGUACCACCUCCGUUGGGUUGUUCAACAAUACCCUCGGUCGUCUCUUUCCUCAGCUCCUUGGGCGUAGUACCCUCUCAGUAGGUCCCCGUAGACCUAUUUCAAUCCGUGAUGUAACAUAUAUAUACCAGUCUUAUAUACUGGUAUAAGAUGUAUGUUACGUGCGUCUCAUAAGAAACAACGUGUAAUAAUUUAGAAAGUACGAUUUAGAAGUAGGAUUGAUAUAUGUAACGAGCACAUCCAACCAAUACUCGACUUUUACAUCUAAGAUAACGGGAAAAACUUCAUCGCACGCUUGCUUCGAUUUCUGGUAUAAGGACCGCAACAUGUCCUUAUAGAGUUCGCAUCGUUCAUCUCAAAUCAAGCAUUGUCUAUUAAUAAACCUAGUAACGGGCAAAACAGACAUGUAGCAGUUUACUGUAACGUUCACUUCGUCUAAAGUUAAUUAAAGGUUAAAAACGCCCAAUAGAAAAGAUAUGUACAUUCAAAAGGGUACGUAAUAUAUAAUAAACCUGCCCCUUGAUGUUUUAAUGAGGGCCGACUUGAUAUACGCAAUGUAAAUAUACACAUUAGUCUUUUGUUUCCGGGCACCGUUGGG